UAGAAAGUCAAGAGACUGAAGUCCUCCAUUUUUUUUCAAAGAACAAGUAGAACAUGGACAACAGAAAUUCAACUGUUUGCCACACUGCCCUGCAAAGGUGCUUCAGGCUUGACCUGGGGGGGGGGCUGGUGCUGGGGUGAGAGGGUGGCUCAUUCAUUCAGUCGGAGGCCAUUCUUCUGAAAAUGCCAAC
rnacentral:sRNA from 1 species